rnacentral:rRNA from 1 species
UACGGAGGAUGCAAGCGUUAUCCGGAAUGAUUGGGCGUAAAGCGUCCGCAGGUGGCUAUGUAAGUCUGCUGUUAAAGAGUGAGGCUCAACCUCAUAAGAGCAGUGGAAACUACAUGGCUAGAGUGCGUUCGGGGCAGAGGGAAUUCCUGGUGUAGCGGUGAAAUUCGUAGAUAUCGGGAGGAACACCGGUGGCGAAGGCGGCGACCUGGGCCAAUACUGACGCUGAGGUGCGAAAGCGUGGGGAGCGAACAGG